AACGAACGCUGGCGGCAGGCUUGACACAUGCAAGUCGAACGCCCCGCAAGGGGAGUGGCAGACGGGUGAGUAACGCGUGGGAAUCUACCCAUCCCUACGGAACAACUCCGGGAAACUGGAGCUAAUACCGUAUACGCCCUACGGGGGAAAGAUUUAUCGGGGAUGGAUGGGCCCGCGUUGGAUUAGCUAGUUGGUGGGGUAAAGGCCUACCAAGGCGACGAUCCAUAGCUGGUUUGAGAGGAUGAUCAGCCACAUUGGGACUGAGACACGGCCCAAACUCCUACGGGAGGCAGCAGUGGGGAAUAUUGGACAAUGGGCGCAAGCCUGAUCCAGCCAUGCCGCGUGAGUGAUGAAGGUCUUAGGAUUGUAAAGCUCUUUCACCGAUGAAGAUAAUGACGGUAGUCGGAGAAGAAGCCCCGGCUAACUUCGUGCCAGCCGCCGCGGUAA
rnacentral:rRNA from 1 species